GGGGUUGUGGCUGAGUGGUAGAGUGCUUGCCUCCCAUGCUUGAGACACUGAGUUCAAUCCUCAGCACCA
rnacentral:tRNA from 1 species